AUCUAAUUGACAAGUGCUAAAUAGGACGAAACGCGCGUCCUGGGU
rnacentral:hammerhead_ribozyme from 1 species